rnacentral:rRNA from 1 species
CCUACGGUAGACAGCAGUGGGGAAUAUUUGGCAAUGGGCGCAAGCCUGACCCAGCAACGCCGCGUGAAAGAAUAAGGCUUUUGGGUUGUAAACUUCUUUUAAGAGGGGAGAGCAGAAGACGGUACCUCUUGAAUAAGCCACGGCUAACUACGUUCCAGCCGUCGCGGUAAUACGUAGGUGGUAAGCGUUGUCCGGAUUUACUGGGUGUAAAGGGCGUUCAGCCGGGAAGACACGUCAGAUGUGAAAUCCCGCGGCUCAACCGCGGAACUGCAUUUGAAACUGUUUUUCUUGAGUACCGGAGAGGUCAUCGGAAUUCCUUGUGUAGCGGUGAAAUGCGUAGAUAUAAGGAAGAACACCAGUGGCGAAGGCGGAUGACUGGACGGCAACUGACGGUGAGGCGCGAAAGCGUGGGGAGCAAACAGGAUUAGAUACCCCUGUAGUC